GAAAUAUAUGUCAUAAACACAAUGUCAGGACUUGGUUUGAUUUCUGUCUAUGUAAAAAAAGGCACGCAGAGUAGUUGUAUGGCUGCCUUCAAGCAGCUUAAACAUACUUCCAUGGACGUUCUGGGUCAGAGACCUGUACACGAGUAAUACAAACUGCCAUGCAGCUAAUCUUGGGGUCAUCUGGCUCCAUUUGGAUGAUUUACUGUGGACUUGUAAGCUCCAGCACAUCUGGACGUGCUUCCUCAGGCAGUUGGGAUGCCUUGGUGGUGUCAGGUGAGCAGCAGAAGUGGUCCUGCUGUCAUUGCCGGUAGUAAACUCAGCAAUAGCACAUAAACCUUGGGAGCCUAUGUAGUGUUUCAGUGGUAUUUUGUUCUGCUGUUGUUGUGUUGUGUUUUGGUUUUUGUUGUUUGUUUGUUUUCUUUGUCAUGGGAAAAACAGUAUUCCAUUGAACUCUGCGUGCAUACAUUGUAUGGGUUGCAGUGACAAUGGGAAUGAGAAUAAGCCUGGAAUCAUCAGGCUGUAAAACCUGUUGCAGGCCUCAGUAAAUGCUGUCUGUGAGCUUUCUAGGUACAAGGAUUUGUUGCAGUUCUCUCCCCUACCAUCUCUGUUGUAGCUGCUCAUUGUGGAACACCUAGAUGCCUUGUUCAACUACUAGUAACAAGGCUACUAUGAAAGAACUGACAAAAAACCUACAAAAUUAUUAUUUUCCAAGCAUUGCUUUUUGCUUCCAAAUUGUCAGGUGCUCUGGAUUUGACUAUAUUGGCUGGAUGUGGCUCUGGGCAGCCUGGUCUGGUGGUUGGCAACCCUGCACAUAGCAGGGGGUUGAAACGGAUGGUCAUUGUGGUCCUUUUCAACCCAGACCAUUCUAUGAUAUGAUACGAUAUGGUAUUUACUGCAUGCUACAAUGAGAAGUAGCAGGCAACUCUGUAAUGUUCCAGUAUUUGGAGGCUUGCACCACUUCCAGUACCGGUUGAAAGACUGAAGCAUGCUAAUCUUUUACAUUCCAGACAGCCCUCUUUCUACUCAAUACAAACAGCAAUUUUUUUGAUUGCAUUCCAUUUUAGGCUGUUCCAUUUGGGUUAUUUUGGGGUGGCUGUGGUUUUUCCUUCUUUUUUUUUUUCUUUUUUUUCUUUUUUUUCUUUUUUGGGCCAUGGGUUCUUUUAGCACAGAUCAUUCCUAAAGCUGUUGUCUGUGUACUCUCAACUCAUCUUUUUUUAUGGGUGCAGAUAAGAUAAAUGUGUGAAGCCCUGGAAGAGCGGACCGUUUGCUAAGAUCUCCCUGGAUUCAGAGAAACUGAUGAAAACAUGUAAUGCCAAGCUUGGCUGCCUUUUGUGGUACUGCUUCUUAGUCUCACAGUCUGCUGCCAAGAGAGCAUUUUGGUUUCAUUGAGCAGUGGUCAAUAGGUGUUGUUAUAUACUUUAUGUUGGGGAGUCUUAGGAGAGAGUCUCAAAUUACAUUUGUUACCUUCCUUUCAUCCUCUUUGAUGUUUUAGAUCUGUCUUCACAGAGCAGUGUGUGUGUGCCUGCAUGGAUGCUUGUAAUCAGGUUUGUAGUAUCCUGGUUAUGUGGUUGUGGU
rnacentral:lncRNA from 1 species